rnacentral:rRNA from 1 species
UACGAAGGGGGCUAGCGUUGUUCGGAAUUACUGGGCGUAAAGCGUACGCAGACGGUGAGGCAAGUCGGGUGUGAAAGCCCCGGGCUCAACCCGGGAACUGCAUUCGAUACUACUUCGCUCGAGUAUGAGAGAGGAAAGCGGAAUUCCUGGUGUAGAGGUGAAAUUCGUAGAUAUCAGGAGGAACACCGGCGGCGAAGGCGGCUUUCUGGCUCAUUACUGACGUUCAGGUACGAAAGCGUGGGUAGCAAACAGG